GGAGAGGUGGCAGAGUGGUCGAAUGCGCCCGACUUGAAAUCGGGUGUGCGCAAGCACCGAGGGUUCGAAUCCCUCCCUCUCCG
rnacentral:tRNA from 3 species